UACGAAGGGGGCUAGCGUUGCUCGGAAUCACUGGGCGUAAAGGGUGCGUAGGCGGGUUUUUAAGUCAGGGGUGAAAUCCUGGAGCUCAACUCCAGAACUGCCUUUGAUACUGAAGAUCUUGAGUUCGGGAGAGGUGAGUGGAACUGCGAGUGUAGAGGUGAAAUUCGUAGAUAUUCGCAAGAACACCAGUGGCGAAGGCGGCUCACUGGCCCGAUACUGACGCUGAGGCACGAAAGCUAGGGGAGCAAACAGG
rnacentral:rRNA from 1 species